rnacentral:tRNA from 1 species
UAGCUCAGCUGGUUAGAGCGCUCGCCUGAUAAGCGGGAGGUCCCUGGUUCGAGUCC